rnacentral:rRNA from 1 species
GACUCACGGAACUCACAGUCAGACACAAUAAGGAUUGACAGAUUGAGAGCUCUUUCUUGAUUUGUGGGUGGUGGUGCAUGCGUUUCUUAGUUGGUGGAGUGAUUUGUCUGCUUAAUUGCGAUAACGAACGAGACCUUAACCUACUAAAUAGUGCUGCUAGCUUUUGCUGGUAUAGUCACUUCUUAGAGGGACUAUCGAUUUCAAGUCGAUGGAAGUUUGAGGCAAUAACAGGUCUGUGAUGCCCUUAGACGUUCUGGGCCGCACGCGCGCUACACUGACGGAGCAGCGAGUAUUAACCUUGGCCGAGAGGUCUGGGAAAUCUUUGUGAAACUCCGUCGUGCUGGGAUAGAGCAUUGUAAUUAUUGCUCUUCAACGAGGAAUUCCUAGUAAGCGCAAGUCAUCAGCUUGCGUUGAUUACGUCCUGCCUUUGUACACACGCCGUCGCUACUACCGAUUGAAUGGCUUAGUGAGGCCUCCGGAUUGGUUUAAAGAAGGGGCAACUCCAUCUUGGAACCG